rnacentral:lncRNA from 13 species
CUGCAAAGGAGAGUAGGAGAGUAGAGUGGUAGUGAAAGAGAAAGAUAAGCACCCAAGAAAGUAUUUUCUUUCUUUCUUUUUUUUAAGAUGGGAGAAAUCACAGUGGUCGGUAUACUCAAGGAAAGACUCCAUUAGACAGGGACAAAUUGCUGAUGCAGAAGCAAUAAGAGGAUGUUUUGUGCUAUGGACUUGGAUAGGUGAAAGGAGGUAGGAUCUAUUACACAGAUGGAGAGACUCUCCUUAGGCAAGGUUCCAGCUCACAGUUCAGAGAAACAGAAGGCGGAGGCAGGGUGGCUGGACUCAGGUGCAGAAACCAUGAUACUCUCUGGUACCUAAAGCCCCAUGCUGCUUCCCCCAGAGUCCUCUGCCAAGCGGCCCUGGCUCCACAUUGCUUCUCUUCUUCCCCACACCCUCCCAAAGAAGGUGACACGUUUCUCUCUCAGAUAGCUAUUAGGAGGAAAGCCAUGUAAGUAAAAUCAUUAAUACAAUGAUGUGCAUGACCGAUAUAUAAGCCUCCCGGGAAUAGAUUUUAUUUUUUGAGAGUAGCUUUUUAACCCACUUAAAACUCUAAUUAACUGACUAGAAGAUUGAUUGAGUAAUAGAUUGUGGGUGUGGGUAGCACAGAGCAAGAGAUUUUUUAACAAUGGCACUUCCUCUGGUGUCUCUUGAAUGCCUUUAACGACCACUUUGUCAUCCAUCAAAGGUCAAGGAUCUAGCACGUUGACACUGAAUUUCUAAAAAUGUACAAUUGCCCUAGCGGUAUGUGCAACAGACUAGAGUCACUUGAGCCUCUCUAAACCUCAACCUUAAUUCAUAAAGGGAAAUAACGAUAGAAUUUACUUUAGAAAAUUUGGAUAUGAAAGUCAUUGGCAUAUACUUUCUCUUCCCUCUUUUUCUAUCAUUCAUCCUCCCUCCUUCACACUCUUGUUAAAUGUAACAACUUGUUUCAUGCUUGAAAUCGAACCUCCUUAAAAGCACUCUUCUUCCCACCCUGCCUGCAGUUGCCGUUUCUGGACAGUAUAGAGCAUUGGUUCAUGGAUCAUUCCACUGUCCACCUUCCACACAAACCUUUCCUAUUGAUGUUGUCUCGUAAUUCAGACUGCCAGGAUCCUGGUAGGCUAGGUUUGCCAAGAAGUUAGAUGUGGGGUACUCACUGCUCAUCAUUCAAAAGUUAUUAGGUUGGUGCCAUUCAAAGUAAUGCAAAACCAUAAUUACUUCCGCACCAACCUAAUACUUUUAGGUUGUCCUACAUCACCUUGUCCAUGGGAAUAGAAUUGUCAGCAGCAUUCAUCAAGGGAAAGCAUCUUGUGAUUGUUUAAAUAGAUUCUAUAUACUUUUUUGUAUUAAGGCCCAAAUUAUGCUUUACUUUCUCUUAUGCACAGUUGGGUUUCAGAGUUGAGCAUUUGUGCAAUUUUGAGCUUCUCAAUAAAUAAUUUCCAAAUUUUGACUAUAUUUUAAAA